GAAGGAUCUUGGGCAAUGGGCGAAGCCUGACCCAGCGACACCGCGUGGGGGACGAAGGUUUUCGGAUCGUAAACCCCUUUUCUCGGGGAAGAAUACUGACGGUACCCGAGGAAUAAGUCUCGGCCAACUACGUGCCAGCAGCCGCGGUAAUACGUAGGAGGCGAACGUUAUCCGGAUUUACUGGGCGUAAAGGGAGCGUAGGCNGGUUGUUUAAGUCGGGUGUGAAAUCUCUCAACUCAAUUGAGAGCGGCCAUCCGAUACUGGGCAACUCGAGGGCGGCAGAAGGAAACGGAAUUCCGAGUGUAGCGGUGAAAUGCGUUGAUAUUCGGAAGAACACCAGUGGCGAAGGCGGUUUCCUAGGCUGUUCCUGACGCUGUGGCUCGAAAGCGUGGGGAGCGAAGCGGAUUAGAUACCCGCGUAGUCCACGCCCUAAACGGUGAACACUAGAUAUGGGGAGUAUCGACCCUUCUCGUGUCGAAGCUAACGCUUUAAGUGUUCCGCCUGGGGAGUACGGCCGCAAGGCUAAAACUCAAAGGAAUUGACCGGGGGCCCGCACAAGCAGCGGAGCGUGUGGUUUAAUUCGAUGCUACACGAAGAACCUUACCAGGGCUUGACAUGUUGGAAGUAGGAACCCGAAAGGGGGACGACCCGUAUCCAGUCGGGAGCCUUCACAGGUGCUGCAUGGCUGUCGUCAGCUCGUGCCGUGAGGUGUUGGGUUAAGUCCCGCAACGAGCGCAACCCUCGNGCUAUGUUGAAUUCUCAUAGCANACUGCCUU
rnacentral:rRNA from 1 species